AGUGAACGUUGGCGGCGUGGAUUAGGCAUGCAAGUCGAGCGAUCGUAGCAAUACGGGAGCGGCAAACGGGGUAGGAAUACAUCGGAACGUACCUUUUGGUUGAGAAUAGCGUUGGGAAACUGACGGUAAUACUCAAUAAAGUCGAGAGACCAAAGGUUUACUGCCGGAAGAGCGGCCGAUGCGAUAUUAGGUAGUUGGUGGGGUAAUGGCCUACCAAGCCUGAGAUGUCUAGGGGGUGUGAGAGCAUGGCCCCCACCACUGGGACGUGAGAUACUGCCCAGACACCUACGGGUGGCUGCAGUCGAGGAUCUUCGUCAAUGGGCGAAAGCCUGAACGAGCGACGCCGCGUGCGGGAUGAAGGCCCUUGGGUUGUAAACCGCUGUCAGGGGGAUGAAACCGUAAGGUUGACAGAGCCCAGAGGAAGCACGGGCUAAGUUCGUG
rnacentral:rRNA from 1 species